rnacentral:lncRNA from 10 species
AGGAGGGAAAAUAUAGAAAUUUUCAUAUGAAAGAAAAUUGAUAAUUUUAUUUAGCAGACUUGUUCUAAAGGAAUACCAGAUGAAAUUCUUCCAGCUGAAGAGAAAUGAUACCAGAAGAAACUUGGAUAUUGAGGAAUGAAGGAAGAGUAAGAAAAAUGACUAUGAAUGCAACAAAGAGGCUGCAUUUCUUUUUUUAAAAAUAAACAAAUAAACAAAACACAGAAGCAAACUUUGGUGCUGUAAAAGUGAAGGAGACAAAACAUUGAGAAGAAUAGGACCACAGAGUCAAAGUUCGGAUAAAGACUUGGCUACAAGGAGGAAGGAACAAGGAGGUGGCCACAGACUAAGGUUCCUUGACUGGCCUUCCUAGGAUUACAGUUUAAAUUCAUGGAAAAUAUAGAUUUUAUGUUACGAAGCACAUUUAUCAUGCAAGAUCUGUGGUGUUGACAUAUGAAAAGCUGUUGUUUUUUCCAAAUAAUAAAGAAAGAAGUAGAAAAAAAACUCUAGCAAGCUUCUGAAAAUGAAAUAUUUACAUAUCAUUUGCAUUUUUUCUGGUAAAAUAUACAUAACCUAAAGUUUAUCAUUUUAACCAUUUUUAAAUGUACAAUUUAAUGGCAUUAAGUAUAUUCACAAUGUUGUGAAAAUUAAAGAGGGUCAGGGCAGAGUAGGGCAAGGUUGGUUUGAAAACCUCCUCACCAUAAUUUUUAUUGUUUUACAACCAGGAUUUUUGCUAUUAGGCAUGAUUUAAAAGUGCUACCUAAAAAAAAACUUGUGGUAAUUAAGCCACUUAUUUAUUACUUGGCCUGUGGCCUAUUCUUAUCAAACCAGAAGUUAAAUUUACUUUCUGUGAGCCUAAGGCUAUACUGGAAAAUACAGUUCUUGUUCAAAACAGCUUAAUUCAUAUAUAUUUUAACAACCUAGAAAUACAUACAUAUAGUCAUUCUCUUUC